rnacentral:rRNA from 1 species
GGAUGCGAUCAUAACAACACUAACGCACCAGAUCCCAUCAGAACUUUGAAGUUAAGUGUGCUUGGGCGAGAGUAGUACUAGGAUGGGUGACCCCCUGGGAAGUCCUCGUGUUGCAUCCC